CUUGCCUGUUGGAGAUCACACAUCUAGAAUUAAGGACCCUGCUUCUGCCUUUCUCUGUACUCUCCAGGACACUUCCCUAAGGAAGAAAGAGAUCCUCCAGGAAGAACAGAAACUCUGGACUUGGUAAUUUCAUGACUGAGGGGAAUGGUACUGAAUAAAGCAUAGUUUUGGGAGAGAAAACUGGAUUCAUUGCGGGAUUUUGUACAGAACUCCAUGAAUCCUUCCUGCUGUCACAACCCAGCCCGCCUACCGAUGUUCCUUCUCCGAACGUUCUACACAUCUGAGGAACAGGCUAGCGUACAAACUAGCAUCAAAGGAACAACAAAUCACGAAUUAACGACCCCUGCCUCUGUUCCAAUAACGAGAAGUGAUUUCCUGGAACAGUAUUAAUUUCUGGAAUAAUCUGAGCAGUAAAUCUUUACUACAAAGAAGAAUUCUUGAGGUGAAAACUCUUUUGACUUUGUGAGUAUGAACUAAUGCUAGAAAAUGAAACUUGGAGUUAUCUCCUACCCAAACUCUACAAACUUGAAGAAACAUUUCUCUUAGAACAUUUCUGACAUUAGAUUUUUCUGGAAAAUGGAUUUUUUUCUGUAGCUGUCAUAGUCAUUAGGUUGUCACAUAAAUACUUGCUAUAUUUGCAGUCAAAUACUCUACCACUGAGCUCUAUCUCCUAUACUUGCUAUAUUUUAAAUCCCUGAAUAAAAGAUGUUAUCGAAGCCACAA